GGGGCGAGAGCCAGAGACGCAGCCGCAGGCAGAAUCCGCGGCUGCAGGCGGACUGCCGAUGUCGCUAGGCAAAGGCCCACAGGCCCUCCUCCCUCUGUCGCUCGCUCAAUCCGCUGGCGCUCCCGCAUACGGCCUGCUCGUCGCCCUCUCUCGCUCCCGCGCGCUCAAGCCAUUGGCGGCCACCACAUCCGCGGCACCGCGUCAAAGUAGACGUCCCUCUUCCUUUUACCUCUCUCCUUCGUAGCUGCAGAUCGCGUCACCGGCUCCGGAUCCACUGCCGACACGUCCCGGCGAUGCAGAGCUGUGAGCGAGUGGGGAUGGAGGCAAUGGAGCUUGGGCGAGUGGGGAUGGAGGCGAUGGAGCGUGGGCGCGUGAGCAGCAAUGGUUCUUAGCCGCCGACGCAAACCCUAGCCGCCAUAGGUGCUGCUGGACUGUGGGAGUGACGGACGAAAUGAGAGGCCGAGAGCCACCACGAGAAUGGAACGAGAAACAUGAGUGGGGACUAGUUUUUUUACUUCCCCGUGGAUUGACAGGGUUAGGAAUAAAAAGGCCCGUGGCAUUUUGGCCUGUGUCUCAUCCAAACAGUAGCCCGAGAUGUGUGGGAAAGAGAAGACGCGGUCUUAUUUCUCACGCGGAUUGGGCUGGGAUCCCUCCAGAGAUUGGGUCAUCCAAAGGAGCCCUUAAUUUUAUUCCACUCGCUUUCGCGCGCCCUCCUCAUGAUCCCAUCCUUUUUCUUCCCCUAGCUUUAGUGUUUCUCCACCUCCUCUCUCCGGGUGGCAGACCCUUCUCUCCGCCCUCUUCGUCUUCCAGUUAGUCGCAUGUAGAGAGGCAGUGCGAGUGUGGCAUGCGAGGAACAAACAAAACCAGGAAAAGAAGCUCUCACUCACUCACAAGUAGCAAAAGAUCAAAGGGAAAUCAAUUCUAUACCAUGGUAUUUUCUUCGGUUCCUGUCUACCUUGAUUCACCCAAUUGGAACCAGCACCAGCACCAGCACCAGCCGCAACAGCAGCAACAACAAGCUCACCAUGGCCACCUUAAGUGGCACCGGAGGAGGUGGAGGCGGCAACGUCGACGCGCAUGCGCACCAUCAUCAGCUGCCGUCGAUGCCACCUCCUGCUCGUGUUGGGGCUCUCAUGGCUCCUCGUCCUAACAUGGCGGCUGUGGUCGCCGCGAGCGGCGGCAGCACGAGCGACGGUAGUGGGCCAACUGGCGGUGGUUCCGUUAUCCGGUCGGGCUCCAUGACCGAGCGGGCUAGGCUCGCCAAGAUCCCGCAGCCGGAGCCGGGGCUCAAGUGCCCGCGUUGCGAGUCCACCAACACCAAGUUUUGUUACUUUAACAACUACUCGCUCUCCCAGCCGCGCCACUUCUGCAAGACGUGUCGUCGCUACUGGACUCGUGGCGGCGCGCUUCGGAACAUCCCUGUCGGUGGCGGGUGUCGCCGCAACAAGCGCACCAAGUCGUCCAACUCGUCGUCGGCCACCUCCGCUUCAAGAGCGAGCGGGACAUCGUCGUCCACCUCGUCCACCGCGACCGGCGGCAACAGCGCCGCCAGCAUCAAGCUGCCUCACCAGGGGCACGGAGGGCAGCUGCCUUUCCUAGCCUCGUUGCACCACCCUUUCACCGACGGGGAUCAUCACUACAACACGGGCGCGUCACGGUUAGGGUUCCCCGGGCUGAGCUCGCUGGACCCCAUGGACUAGCACCAGUUCGGCGCUGUCGCCGCCGGGCUGGAUCAGUGGCGCCUGCCGCAGAGACACCAGUUCCCGUUCCUAAGCGGUCGCCCCGACACCGUGCAACCGCCAAUGUCUGGCAUUUACCCGUUCAACGUGGAAGGCCAUGGUGGGGAAGGUUCCGGCUUCGCCGACCACAUGUUUGGCGACUCCAAGGUGCCCAGCUCAGCAAGGCUGAUCACGCAGCUUACGUUAGUGAAGAUGGAGGACAACCCAACGUCCGCGGUGAUGGCAAGCAGCUCACCAAGGGAGUUCCUUGGUCUCCCUGGAAACCCCCAAUUCUGGGACGGUGGCGGCAGCAACGGUGGUGCAAGUGGCAACAAUGGAGCAGGCACUGGCAACGCCGGUAGUGCUGGUGGCGACGCUAUUCCUCCGGGUGGCAGCUGGAUGGACCUGUCAGGAUUCAACUCAUCUUUGUCCGAAAACGUGUGGUGAUGCCCUCUGAAUAUGUUCUGCAUGCUAAGCUGGUCGCUGCACACAAAAGGUAACCCUAUCUAUUUAUGCAAAUCCCUCAAGCUUCAUUUUAGUGAUGGCUUCUGAGAAAGUUCAACAGGAAAGGAGUUGUAGUGCAAGAUUAUAGGGGGGCUAAAUAUGAUCCAUGCCGGCACUACCGGAAUCGCUGGUGGACGCAUCUCCAGGUUGGAGCGUAAUAACCUUAAGUUUUGAGCAUAAAAUCCCUCAAUUAUAAGCGUA